rnacentral:rRNA from 1 species
UACGGAGGGUGCAAGCGUUAAUCGGAAUUACUGGGCGUAAAGCGCACGCAGGCGGUCUGUCAAGUCGGAUGUGAAAUCCCCGGGCUCAACCUGGGAACUGCAUUCGAAACUGGCAGGCUAGAGUCCUGUAGAGGGGGGUAGAAUUCCAGGUGUAGCGGUGAAAUGCGUAGAGAUCUGGAGGAAUACCGGUGGCGAAGGCGGCCCCCUGGACAAAGACUGACGCUCAGGUGCGAAAGCGUGGGGAGCAAACAGGAUUAGAUACCCUGGUAGUCCACGCCGUAAACGAUGUCGACUUGGAGGUUGUGCCCUUGAGGCGUGGCUUCCGGCGCUAACGCGUUAAGUCGCCCGCCUGGGGAGUACGGCCGCAAGGUUAAA